rnacentral:rRNA from 1 species
GUAGGGAAUCUUCGGCAAUGGACGAAAGUCUGACCGAGCAACGCCGCGUGAGUGAAGAAGGUUUUCGGAUCGUAAAACUCUGUUGUUAGAGAAGAACAAGUGGGAGAGUAACUGUUCCCACCUUGACGGUAUCUAACCAGAAAGCCACGGCUAACUACGUGCCAGCAGCCGCGGUAAUACGUAGGUGGCAAGCGUUGUCCGGAUUUAUUGGGCGUAAAGCGAGCGCAGGCGGUUCUUUAAGUCUGAUGUGAAAGCCCCCGGCUCAACCGGGGAGGGUCAUUGGAAACUGGAGAACUUGAGUGCAGAAGAGGAGAGUGGAAUUCCAUGUGUAGCGGUGAAAUGCGUAGAUAUAUGGAGGAACACCAGUGGCGAAGGCGACUCUCUGGUCUGUAACUGACGCUGAGGCUCGAAAGCGUGGGGAGCAAACAGG